GAUGAACGCUGGCGGCGUGCUUAACACAUGCAAGUCGAACGGAAAGGCCCAAGCUUGCUUGGGUACUCGAGUGGCGAACGGGUGAGUAACACGUGGGUGAUCUGCCCUGCACUUCGGGAUAAGCCUGGGAAACUGGGUCUAAUACCGGAUAGGACCACUUCUUGGAUGUUGUGGUGGAAAGUUUUUUCGGUGUGGGAUGAGCUCGCGGCCUAUCAGCUUGUUGGUGGGGUAAUGGCCUACCAAGGCGUCGACGGGUAGCCGGCCUGAGAGGGUGUACGGCCACAUUGGGACUGAGAUACGGCCCAGACUCCUACGGGAGGCAGCAGUGGGGAAUAUUGCACAAUGGGCGCAAGCCUGAUGCAGCGACGCCGCGUGGGGGAUGACGGCCUUCGGGUUGUAAACUCCUGUCGCUAGGGACGAAGCGUUUUUGUGACGGUACCUGGAGAAGAAGCACCGGCUAACUACGUG
rnacentral:rRNA from 1 species